UCUGGUCCCAGUUCUGAAAUCACUUUAUCCUUAAACAAGCUGCUUCUCUCCAUGAACAUCCAAUCAUCACUUCCUAGCGUCGCAGAUUGACACGGCAUUCCAGUUCUGGUAUAGGAACGGUCUGGUGUUUUUUUGUGACCUAUUUGUUGACAACACAUUCGUCUCAUUUGGUAGUCUGAGGGUUGACCAUAAUAUUCCCAAUACCCACUUUCUUAGAUACCUGCAAACUUGCAGCUGUGCCAAAAAAAAACAAUUUCCCCUCAUUUCCAUUGGAGCCCACUAAGUGUCAAGUCGAGAGGUGCUUAGAUCUUAACCCUUAUCUGAAGGGCACAAUUUCCCCUGAUUUCCAUUGGAGUCCACUAAGUGUCAAGUCGAGAGGUGCUUAGAUCUUAACCCUUAUCUGAAGGGCACAAUUUCCCCUCAUUUCCAUUGCAGUCCACUAAGUGUCAAGUCGAGAG
ensembl:lncRNA